rnacentral:tRNA from 1 species
ACGUUUUUAGCUUAAUGGAUAGAGCAUCAACCUUCUAAGUUGAGUUGUGUAGGUUCAAAUCCUACAAAACGUA